AUUGAACGCUGGCGGCAGGCCUAACACAUGCAAGUCGAGCGAGCGGCGGACGGGUGAGUAAUGUCUGGGAACCUGCCCGAUGGAGGGGGAUAACUACUGGAAACGGUAGCUUAUACCGCAUACCAUCUGAUCUGCCCAGGUGGGAUUAGCUAGUAGGUGGGGUAACGUCUCCCCUCGGCGCCGAUCCCUAGCUGGUCUGAGAGGUUGACCAGCCACACGGGAACUGAGACACGGUCCAGACUCCUACGGGAGGCAGCAGUGGGGAAUAUUGCACAAUGGGCGCAAGCCUGAUGCAGCCAUGCCGCGUGUGUGAAGAAGGCCUUCGGGUUGUAAAGCACUUUCAGCGGGGAGGCGUUACCCGCAGAAGAAGCAACGGCUAAGUACGUGCCAGCAGCCGCGGUAAUAC
rnacentral:rRNA from 1 species